rnacentral:rRNA from 1 species
UACGGAGGGUGCAAGCGUUGCUCGGAAUUAUUGGGCGUAAAGCGCACGUAGGCGGUUCGUUAAGUCGGAUGUGAAAGCCCACGGCUCAACCGUGGAGGGUCAUUGGAAACUGGGGAACUUGAGUGCAGGAGAGAAGAGUGGAAUUCCACGUGUAGCGGUGAAAUGCGUAGAGAUGUGGAGGAACACCAGUGGCGAAGGCGACUCUUUGGCCUGUAACUGACACUGAGGCGCGAAAGCGUGGGGAGCAAACAGG